rnacentral:lncRNA from 1 species
ACACAGCCUCCGACAGCAUCGUCAAAAACUUGUUCAUUGAUAGCGUAAGUUUACUAAUUGUGAUGUGUAUAUGAUGGGUGAAGUAACAUCCCCCAAAGAUCGUGUUACUAAGCACCAAAAUCAAUAAUCCUACCCCUAUUUGAGAAAAUAAUUAUGGAAGAUGAGUUAUUCUAAAAUCUAAUUAUUCAACUACUUUGGCUAUGAAUGCAAAAUAUGUGAUUUGAACACUUUAAAUUUGAAAAUAAAAUGAUGGUUAAAAUUAUAGACUUUUGACUUCACCUUAGUUUUUAACGUAACUUCUCCUAUAAAGCGUUGGCAAAGUUUAACAAGAAUAUCGGUCAAAUCUCUCUACUUUAAUUAAUACUUUCUUUCGAGAUGAAUCAAUCCUAUUUAACUAAGUAAACUAACUAUAUAUAUGUGCUCAUUUCAACCUAGCAAAUGCAUUCAACAUCAACAAACUCAUAAUGAAUGCACAAACCAAAGAAGUGCAUUUCUACCUUCUUCCUAAAUUUUUAAUGUUUAUUAUAUUGAUCUAGACAAAUAAAUCAUCUGUCUCAUUGCCACCCACAAGUCAUUCAUGAUGUUAUGCAUUACUGGAUUAAUCGUGAUCUUGAGAGAGAACAUUUUAUCCCUUUGUUCUUUAGCUGAUUUUACCUUAAUCAUCAGUUGUCUUCUUCUUCAUGCUGUUGAUCUCCAAAGCUAACAGUGACAAAGAAGACAUGUGCGGAGGUCUAGGUUUUGCCAUAGGAAUUACUUGCCAGUCAGCAUCAGCGUAUACAUGUAAACUGAGUCAAUCAACAAGUUACCGUUAUUUGCCGUUGGGUUGCUCGUUAUGAUAUUAUGGUGCCAAUUGGACUUCGGCCGAGAUUUGCUUGCCUUUGGGGUAAUCAUCUUAGGUUGAUCAAUGCUGUGACUGGAUUCGAAAAUUUGUUGGUCUAAUUAGGAAAUCCAUAGCCUUGUGAAGAGCAUUUGUCAAGUGAACUACCCGAGUAAUCUAGUUGCCAGGAUUGUUGCUCCACCUUCAAUUAAAAGAUUGGCUUUCAUGCCACCUUAUGCUCUUUUAGUUGUUAGUUUUCUGAUUAUAGAGCUAUUGCAGGUGGAUAGACCUUCUAGAUUUCUUAAGAUUUCAAG